rnacentral:tRNA from 1 species
GGGCACAUAGUUCAGUGGUAGAACGCUGUCCUGAUAAGACAGAGGUCUCAGGUUCGAUUCCUGGUGUGCCCACAA